rnacentral:rRNA from 1 species
CCUACCUUUUGGUUUGGGAUAACGUCGGGAAACUGACGCUAAUACCAGAUAAGCCCUUCGGGGGAAAGAUUUAUCGCCGAUUGAUGGGCCCGCGUUAGAUUAGCUAGUUGGUGAGGUAACGGCUCACCAAGGCGACGAUCUAUAGCUGGUCUGAGAGGAUGACCAGCCUCACUGGGACUGAGACACGGCCCAGACUCCUACGGGAGGCAGCAGUGGGGAAUAUUGGACAAUGGGGGCAACCCUGAUCCAGCCAUGCCGCGUGAAUGAUGAAGGCCUUCGGGUUGUAAAGUUCUUUUGGUGGGGACGAUGAUGACGGUACCCACAGAAUAAGCUCCGGCUAACUUCGUGCCAGCAGCCGCGGUAAUACGAAGGGAGCUAGCGUUGUUCGGAAUUACUGGGCGUAAAGGGCGCGUAGGCGGUUUGGUAAGUUGGGUGUGAAAGCCCAGGGCUCAACCCUGGAACUGCACUCAAGACUAUCAGACUUGAAUUCGGUAGAGGUUGGUGGAAUUCCCAGUGUAGAGGUGAAAUUCGUAGAUAUUGGGAAGAAUAUCCGUGGCGAAGGCGGCCAACUGGACCGACAUUGACGCUGAGGCGCGAAAGCGUGGGGAUCAAACAGGAUUAGAUACCCUGGUAGUCCACGC